UGCCCCAGGGACCUUUGGAAUAUUCCCUGGCUUCUCCCGCUUCUUCUUCUUACGGUAUAAGGGUAGACCUGAUCCAGAAUGUGGCUUUGGCACUGAGGAGCAGUGAGCUCAGUGCUCUUCACUGCGCGUACCAGCAGCAGAAUAUCAGGGAACCCACGGAGACCAGAGAAGGAGAGGAGGAGCAUGGAGGAUUUCACAUGGGAGUUGGAAGGACUUGUUGAUGAGCACAGAAAGCCUCAGCAGUGAAACCAGAAAAUGCAGUCUUGGCAGGAACUGCUGGGGUUCCUGGAAACCCAUUCAGUGCAGACACCUGGGGCCAGAUCCUUGGAGCAAAAAAGGUCCUUCAGUAAAGAAUAGAAUCUCAUGAAAUCCUUCCAGCUCACACACUUCUAACCUUUGAGUCAACUUUGAUGGCUGGUCAAAGGGUAUCAAAAUGGCUCCAAAUGCACAGAUUAAGCAGCUCUCCACUGUCUGAAUAGUUGAAGUAUCCAAGAAAAGGACAAAAAUGGAAGCAAAGAUUGUCUUUUUUGCCUUGUUUCUUUCUUUUCAAAUGGUGACAAGCUGGAAACAGUCUAAAUACCCAAAACAAGGAACUGGCUAAGUCAAUUACGGUGCAGAAACUUAAGGGAAUGCUAUACAGCAAUGAAAAUAAGUAAGAAAAUGACCUAUGAAAAUAUGUUUAUAAUGUUACACUUAAAUCCAGAAUACAGAACUGUGUGUUCACUGUAUGAAAUAUGUGAGUGCAUGAACAGAAG